CAUGAAGAAACCGGCCAUUAAUUUGUGACUAAUCACUCACGAAUCCAGUCGCCAAUCGGCACCGAAUAAUAAUAACGUAAAAACAAGUGAAGUACGUUUAAAGAUUUUAUUUUGAAUUAAUAUUAAUUCAAAAUAAAACGUUCCCGCUCAAAGCCGUAACGACCUACAACUGCACGGUACAAAAAUACAGUUGGAACAUGGCAGAGCCAAAUCUAACUAACAGAUACAACCAACUAACUGAUUCAAUAGUAAAUCACGGAGUAAGAUGCUCGAUCCAAACACAUUACACCGAAUGAAAUUGAAGCUGGGACAACGCGUUAGGAAUAAUGAAAACAAUCGUGCAGUUUUUCUCGACCGGUUGUAGAGUUCUCAAACUGCGACUGUUCGCCGAUGCAAGUAUACCAGAAGAAUAUGCUGAACACUGACCAAUGCAACCUGAAAAACAGCAAAGUAUAGCUGCAUUCACACCAAACCAG